CUCCAUAGUGGAUAUGUCCUGGAAUGGUAUAUCCUCGAAAGAUCCGUCGCCUUAGGAUGGGACUGCGUCCGAUUAGGUUGUUGGCGGGGUAACGGCCCACCAAGCCUUUUAUCGGUACGGGUUGUGGGAGCAAGAUCCCGGAGAUGGAUUCUGAGACAUGAAUCCAGGCCCUACGGGGCGCAGCAGGCGCGCAAACUUUACAAUGCGAGCAAUCGUGAUAAGGAAACCCUGAGUGCCUGUCGAUGCAGGCUGUUCAUAUAUCUAAAUCAUAUGUGAAGAAAGGGCAGGGCAAGACCGGUGCCAGCCGCCGCGGUAAUACCGGCUGCUCGAGUGAUGGCCACUAUUACUGGGUUUAAAGCGUCCGUAGCUUGACUGUUAGGUCUCUUGGGAAAUCUUCGCGCUCAACGUGAAGGCGUCUAAGAGAUACCGGCAGUCUUGGAACUGGGAGAGGUAAACCGUACUUCGGGGGUAGGAGUGAAAUCUUGUAAUCCUCGAGGGACGACCUAUGGCGAAGGCAGUUUACCAGAACAGCUUCGACAGUGAGGGACGAAAGCUGGGGGAGCAAACGGGAUUAGAUACCCCGGUAGUCCCAGCCGUAAACAAUGUGCGUUAGGUGUGUCGGUAACCACGUGUUACUGAUGCGCCGAAGAGAAAUCGUGAAACGCACCACCUGGGAAGUACGGUCGCAAGGCUGAAACUUAAAGGAAUUGGCGGGGGAGCACCACAACAGGUGGAGCCUGC
rnacentral:rRNA from 1 species